GCUUCAUUCCUUAGCUUGCAUCAGGGCCCUUUACUUGAAUCUACUUGAUACAGCCCUGUAUAGGAUCUUGGCGAUUGAUCCUAACCACCAAGAAAAAUCAAGAAAUUUUUUUUUGAUUUUCUUUUUUUCCCUCAAAGGCUCUCUCUCUAGAUCUGGUCUAGAAGUGGAAUAGGCAUGGAAAGGAGAGGGCAAGAGGAGUUGGCAUGGAGGA
rnacentral:lncRNA from 1 species